CGGGGUGUAGGUCAGCUUGGUUAGACCGCGACGCUGGGGGCGUCGAAGUCGACGGUUCGAAUCCGUCCACCCCGA
rnacentral:tRNA from 1 species